rnacentral:rRNA from 1 species
AUACGGAGGACGCGAGCGUUAUCCGGAUUCAUUGGGUUUAAAGGGUGCGCAGGCGGCCGUGCAAGUCAGCGGUGAAAGCCCGGGGCUCAACCCCGGAAGUGCCGUUGAUACUGCAUGGCUGGAAUGCGGUCGAGGCGGGCGGAACGUGGCGUGUAGCGGUGAAAUGCGUAGAUAUGCCACAGAACGCCGAUAGCGGAGGCAGCGCGCCAGGCCUGCAUUGACGCUCGGGCACGAAAGCGUGGGGAUCGAACAGGAUUAGAUCCCCUGGUAGUCCACGCCGUAAACGAUGGGCGCUCGUCGUCGGCGGCAGACAGUCGGCGGCCAAGCGAAAGCGAUAAGCGCCCCACCUGGGGAGUACGGUCGCAAGGCUGAAACUCAAAUGAAUUGACGGG